rnacentral:rRNA from 1 species
CCUACGGGCGGCAGCAGUGGGGAAUAUUGGACAAUGGGGGCAACCCUGAUCCAGCCAUGCCGCGUGUGUGAAGAAGGCCCUCGGGUUGUAAAGCACUUUCAGUGAGGAAGAACGCCUGGUGGUUAAUACCCAUCAGGAAAGACAUCACUCACAGAAGAAGCACCGGCUAACUCCGUGCCAGCAGCCGCGGUAAUACGGAGGGUGCGAGCGUUAAUCGGAAUUACUGGGCGUAAAGCGCGCGUAGGUGGCUUGAUAAGCCGGUUGUGAAAGCCCCGGGCUCAACCUGGGAACGGCAUCCGGAACUGUCAAGCUAGAGUGCAGGCGAGGAAGGUAGAAUUCCCGGUGUAGCGGUGAAAUGCGUAGAGAUCGGGAGGAAUACCAGUGGCGAAGGCGGCCUUCUGGACUGACACUGACACUGAGGUGCGAAAGCGUGGGUAGCAAACAGGAUUAGAUACCCCUGUAGUC